GGGCCAGACUCCUACGGGAGGCAGCAGUGAGGAAUAUUGGUCAAUGGCCGUAAGGCUGAACCAGCCAAGUCGCGUGAAGGAAGAAGGAUCUAUGGUUUGUAAACUUCUUUUAUAGGGGAAUAAAGGUAUCCACGUGUGGAUAUUUGCAUGUACCCUAUGAAUAAGCAUCGGCUAACUCCGUGCCAGCAGCCGCGGUAAUACGGAGGAUGCGAGCGUUAUCCGGAUUUAUUGGGUUUAAAGGGUGCGUAGGCGGCAUUAUAAGUUAGUGGUAAAAUAUUGGGGCUUCACCUCACUACGCCAUUAAUACUGUAGAGCUAGAGAACAGACGAGGUAGGCGGAAUAAGUUAAGUAGCGGUGAAAUGCAUAGAUAUAACUUAGAACACCGAUAGCGAAGGCAGCUUACCAGACUGAGUCUGACGCUGAUGCACGAGAGCAUGGGUAGCGAACAGGAUUAGAUACCCCUAACA
rnacentral:rRNA from 1 species